AUGCCUCCCCUCCUUCUCCGCUCCCCAGCGCCGCCGUCCUCCGGUGUCCUCUGCCGGCGGCGGAAAAGCAUACGUGUGCGUGCGUCGUGGCAGGAGCUGGCGGGCGUGCUGGUGUUCUCCGCCGUCCCCUUCACCGCCGUCAAGGCCAUCGCCAACAGCCCCCUCGGCGCCAGCCUCCGGCGCCGCCUCGAGUCCAGGAAGGCCUUCGCCGCCGCCGAGGCAGACGCCCUCCGCGCCGCCGCCCGCGAGGCUCGCAGCUCCAGCUUUUGGUACGGGGGAGCUCGACCGCGGUGGCUCGGUCCUCUCCGGUACGACUACCCGGAGCACCUGGCCGGAGAGUUCCCCGGCGAUUACGGGUUCGAUAUAGCAGGUCUGGGCCGGGACCCCGUUGCUUUCGCCAACUACUUCAACUUUGAGAUUUUACAUUGUCGAUGGGCCAUGCUUGCUGCUCUUGGUGUUGUUGUUCCUGAGCUGUUAGAUCUAUUUGGGAUAGUGCAUUUUGUGGAGCCUGUGUGGUGGAAAGUUGGUUAUGCAAAACUUCAGGGUGAUACUCUUGAUUACCUUGGGAUUCCUGGGUUCCGAAUUGCUGGUGGUCAAGGCAUCAUCGUCAUUGCUAUCUGUCAAGCCCUUUUGAUGGUUGGGCCAGAAUAUGCGAGAUAUUGUGGGAUCGAGGCGCUAGAACCCUUGGGAAUAUAUCUUCCUGGGGACAUAAACUACCCAGGUGGAGCACUGUUCGACCCCUUGGGGCUGUCCAAAGACCCUGUUGCGUUUGAAGAACUCAAGGUGAAGGAGAUCAAGAAUGGUCGUCUGGCAAUGGUUGCAUGGAUCGGAUUCUACGCCCAGGCGGCUGUAACCGGCAAGGGCCCUGUGCAGAACCUCGUCGAGCACUUGUCGGAUCCACUCCGCAACAACAUUUUAUCCCCCUUCCUUUGA
rnacentral:rRNA from 1 species